rnacentral:rRNA from 1 species
GGUGUUUUAGACUUCUUAGGGGAGCUUGUUUCGUAAUCGACAAUCCACGAUAGACCUAACCUUUUUUUGUAUCCAGUAUGUAUACCGUUGUCGUCAGGUAACUUUUAAAAAUAUAAAAGCUAGCAAAUAAGUUUUUAACUUGUACGUCAAAUCAAGGUGCAACCUAUAAAAAGGAGAGAAUGAGCUACAAUUAAAAGUUAUAAUACGAAUAAAACACAUAAAAAGAAUUUGAAGGAGGACUUAAAAGUAAAAAAAUAAUCAUAAAAACUUUUUGAAUCUAGCUCUGAAACGUGCACACACCGCCCGUCAC